UUUGAUCAUGGCUCAGGACGAACGCCUGGCGGCGUUGCCUAUACAUGCAAGUCGAGCGGACCGACGGGAGCUUGCUCCCUUAGGUCAGCGGCGGACGGUUGAGUAACACGUGGGUAACCUGCCUGUAAGACUGGGAUAACUCCGGGAAACCGGGGCUAAUACCGGAUGCUUGAUUGAACCGCAUGGUUCAAUCAUAAAAGGUGGCUUUCAGCUACCACUUGCAGAUGGACCCGCGGCGCAUUAGCUAGUUGGUGAGGUAACGGCUCACCAAGGCGACGAUGCGUAGCCGACCUGAGAGGGUGAUCGGCCACACUGGGACUGAGACACGGCCCAGACUCCUACGGGAGGCAGCAGUAGGGAAUCUUCCGCAAUGGACGAAAGUCUGACGGAGCAACGCCGCGUGAGUGAUGAAGGUUUUCGGAUCGUAAAACUCUGUUGUUAGGGAAGAACAAGUACCGUUCGAAUAGGGCGGUACCUUGACGGUACCUAACCAGAAAGCCACGGCUAACUACGUGCCAGCAGCCGCGGUAAUACGUAGGUGGCAAGCGUUGUCCGGAAUUAUUGGGCGUAAAGCGCGCGCAGGCGGUUUCUUAAGUCUGAUGUGAAAGCCCCCGGCUCAACCGGGGAGGGUCAUUGGAAACUGGGGAACUUGAGUGCAGAAGAGGAGAGUGGAAUUCCACGUGUAGCGGUGAAAUGCGUAGAGAUGUGGAGGAACACCAGUGGCGAAGGCGACUCUCUGGUCUGUAACUGACGCUGAGGCGCGAAAGCGUGGGGAGCGAAAGGAUUAGAUACCCUGGUAGUCCACGCCGUAAACGAUGAGUGCUAAGUGUUAGAGGGUUUCCGCCCUUUAGUGCUGCAGCAAACGCAUUAAGCACUCCGCCUGGGGAGUACGGUCGCAAGACUGAAACUCAAAGGAAUUGACGGGGGCCCGCACAAGCGGUGGAGCAUGUGGUUUAAUUCGAAGCAACGCGAAGAACCUUACCAGGUCUUGACAUCCUCUGACAACCCUAGAGAUAGGGCUUCCCCUUCGGGGGCAGAGUGACAGGUGGUGCAUGGUUGUCGUCAGCUCGUGUCGUGAGAUGUUGGGUUAAGUCCCGCAACGAGCGCAACCCUUGAUCUUAGUUGCCAGCAUUCAGUUGGGCACUCUAAGGUGACUGCCGGUGACAAACCGGAGGAAGGUGGGGAUGACGUCAAAUCAUCAUGCCCCUUAUGACCUGGGCUACACACGUGCUACAAUGGGCAGAACAAAGGGCAGCGAAGCCGCGAGGCUAAGCCAAUCCCACAAAUCUGUUCUCAGUUCGGAUCGCAGUCUGCAACUCGACUGCGUGAAGCUGGAAUCGCUAGUAAUCGCGGAUCAGCAUGC
rnacentral:rRNA from 1 species